rnacentral:lncRNA from 1 species
AAGGCAGGUCGAACAUGUUCCUGGACAGGUUUGGAACUUGCACCACAGGAAUGAAGAUAAUGGAGACCCUUUGGGCCUGACCUCCACAGCAGCAACAGCGGCAGGAACCAUGUUUACUUCCAGACCUCGGGGACUGAAACUCCUUGCAGGCCUGGCUUAACUCUGCUGUUCCCAGAAAGCUCUCACAGUGGUCUGUGCAGGAGCACGGGCAGGCUGAGAAUGCCGUCCCCCAGGGCACCUGUAGUCUUCCCCGCCUCACUGGAAGCUCUACGCCCUCUGGAGCCCCGCCCCUCCCCCAUCAUGUGUCUUGGCUUGAGCCAACAUCCUAACUCAGAACAACAGAAGGUGUGUGGGAGCACUGUGUAUUCCUUGUAUAUGUGUGUACCUGGACUGUGGAUUUCCCAUGUGGACCAGCAUUCAGGAGUGUGCUGAGGCCAUAGCACAUGUGUAAGCUUAGCUCACAGCUCUUCAGCAACUAAUCAUAAGAGCUUUGCUGUCCUGGGUCAGCCUUUGCAUCUCUUCAGUGAUGGACAAGAGGACCCAUCGAACAGGGUCAUCCAGAUAGCAGAACUGCUGUCCCUGGAAUCAGAAGUAGGGGACUGGAUUCCCCUGCUCUCUGAGCCCCAGAGCUGCUGUCUGCAGAUACAGCAGAAUGCUCCUUCACCCCCAGGUUCCUGCAGAGCACAGUCAGGCUUCCUGGAAACCAGUAUUCUACUAACAGCCUUCAGAUGGUGAAGAACUCUCAGCUCCUCCUGCACCGUGCCUGCCUGGAUGCUGCCAUGCUCCUGCCUCAGUGAUAUGGACUGAACCUCUGAACCUAUUAGGACAGAAUUUCCAGCUGUUUCUGAAAUGAUCCUAAAUGGACUGCCAUUCGGUACUGCUGAUUUAUGCAAAGAGGCAUUGACCCUCAUAGACCCAAAAUAUCAAUCAACUCUGAAAAACGAAAAUGUUAUGUGCCCUGCAACAUCAAACAUUCAGCCAAGACUUAAUUCCUUGUGUUGAAAUAAACAAGUAUGCUCUUCUCAUUAGUAUGCAAAUUUUCUAUUGUGUUUAAUAAAUGGUAAAAUUAUCAAUGUUACAAAGAA